UCCGGUUGAUCCUGCCGGAGGCCACUGCUAUGGGGGUCCGACUAAGCCAUGCGAGUCAUGGGGCGCCUUGCGCGCACCGGCGGACGGCUCAGUAACACGUCGGUAACCUACCCUCGGGAGGGGGAUAACCCCGGGAAACUGGGGCUAAUCCCCCGUAGGCCUGAGGUACUGGAAGGUCCUCAGGCCGAAAGGGUCUUUGACCGCCCGAGGAUGGGCCGGCGGCCGAUUAGGUAGUUGGUGGGGUAGCGGCCCACCAAGCCGAAGAUCGGUACGGGCCAUGAGAGUGGGAGCCCGGAGAUGGACACUGAGACACGGGUCCAGGCCCUACGGGGCGCAGCAGGCGCGAAACCUCCGCAAUGCUCGAAAGAGCGACGGGGGGACCCCCAGUGCCGUGGCAUCGCCACGGCUUUUCCGGAGUGUAAAGAGCUCCGGGAAUAAGGGCUGGGCAAGGCCGGUGGCAGCCGCCGCGGUAAUACCGGCGGCCCGAGUGGUGGCCGCUAUUAUUGGACCUAAAGCGUCCGUAGCCGGGCCAGUAAGUCCCUGGCGAAAUCCCACGGCUCAACCGUGGGGCUUGCUGGGGAUACUGCUGGC
rnacentral:rRNA from 1 species